rnacentral:rRNA from 1 species
UACAGAGACUGCAAGCGUUAUUCGGAUUCACUGGGCGUAAAGGGUGCGCAGGCGGCCGAGUGUGUGAGGCGUGAAAGCCCGGGGCUUAACCCCGGAAUUGCACCUCAAACUACACGGCUAGAGCAUUGGAGAGGGUAGCAGAAUUCAUGGUGUAGCAGUGAAAUGCGUAGAUAUCAUGAGGAAUACCAGAGGCGAAGGCGGCUACCUGGACAAUUGCUGACGCUCAGGCACGAAAGCGUGGGGAGCAAAGGGG